AAUAACUGCAGCCAUGAGUUUUCGCGCCCAAUUUUGAUUGUCCGUCUUAUUUAAAAAAUUUUUAUAAUUAGCAUUUUUCUUGUUAUAAGAUGAUAAAACAUGAAUAGUACUUUACUCGUGACUUAAGUUUUCAAUUUUUUUAAAAAAAUUUUCAAAUAAGACGAACGGUUAAAGUUGGGCGCGGAAAACCAUGGUUGCACUUGUU
rfam:Oryza barthii chromosome 3, whole genome shotgun sequence.